CGGAGGAUGCAAGCGUUAUCCGGAUUCAUUGGGUUUAAGGGUGCGUAGGCGGAUGAUAAGUCAGGGGUGAAAGCCAACAGCUUAACUGUUGAAUUGCCUUUGAUACUGUCAUUCUUGAGUAUGUUUAAAGUGGGCGGAAUGUGACAUGUAGCGGUGAAAUGCGUAGAGAUGUCACAGAACACCGAUUGCGAAGGCAGCUCACUGAGCCAUUACUGACGCUGAGGCACGAAAGCGUGGGGAUCAA
rnacentral:rRNA from 1 species